rnacentral:rRNA from 1 species
GGCUCAGGACGAACGCUGGCGGCGUGCCUAAUACAUGCAAGUAGAACGCUGAAGAGAGGAGCUUGCUCUUCUUGGAUGAGUUGCGAACGGGUGAGUAACGCGUAGGUAACCUGCCUUGUAGCGGGGGAUAACUAUUGGAAACGAUAGCUAAUACCGCAUAACAAUGGAUGACACAUGUCAUUUAUUUGAAAGGGGCAAUUGCUCCACUACAAGAUGGACCUGCGUUGUAUUAGCUAGUAGGUGAGGUAAUGGCUCACCUAGGCGACGAUACAUAGCCGACCUGAGAGGGUGAUCGGCCACACUGGGACUGAGACACGGCCCAGACUCCUACGGGAGGCAGCAGUAGGGAAUCUUCGGCAAUGGGGGCAACCCUGACCGAGCAACGCCGCGUGAGUGAAGAAGGUUUUCGGAUCGUAAAGCUCUGUUGUAAGUCAAGAACGGGUGUGAGAGUGGAAAGUUCACACUGUGACGGUAGCUUACCAGAAAGGGACGGCUAACUACGUGCCAGCAGCCGCGGUAAUACGUAGGUCCCGAGCGUUGUCCGGAUUUAUUGGGCGUAAAGCGAGCGCAGGCGGUUUGAUAAGUCUGAAGUUAAAGGCUGUGGCUCAACCAUAGUUCGCUUUGGAAACUGUCAAACUUGAGUGCAGAAGGGGAGAGUGGAAUUCCAUGUGUAGCGGUGAAAUGCGUAGAUAUAUGGAGGAACACCGGUGGCGAAAGCGGCUCUCUGGUCUGUAACUGACGCUGAGGCUCGAAAGCGUGGGGAGCGAACAGGAUUAGAUACCCUGGUAGUCCACGCCGUAAACGAUGAGUGCUAGGUGUUGGAUCCUUUCCGGGAUUCAGUGCCGCAGCUAACGCAUUAAGCACUCCGCCUGGGGAGUACGACCGCAAGGUUGAAACUCAAAGGAAUUGACGGGGGCCCCCACAAGCGGUGGAGCAUGUGGUUUAAUUCGAAGCAACGCGAAGAACCUUACCAGGUCUUGACAUCCCGAUGCUAUUUCUAGAGAUAGAAAGUUACUUCGGUACAUCGGUGACAGGUGGUGCAUGGUUGUCGUCAGCUCGUGUCGUGAGAUGUUGGGUUAAGUCCCGCAACGAGCGCAACCCCUAUUGUUAGUUGCCAUCAUUCAGUUGGGCACUCUAGCGAGACUGCCGGUAAUAAACCGGAGGAAGGUGGGGAUGACGUCAAAUCAUCAUGCCCCUUAUGACCUGGGCUACACACGUGCUACAAUGGUUGGUACAACGAGUUGCGAGUCGGUGACGGCGAGCUAAUCUCUUAAAGCCAAUCUCAGUUCGGAUUGUAGGCUGCAACUCGCCUACAUGAAGUCGGAAUCGCUAGUAAUCGCGGAUCAGCACGCCGCGGUGAAUACGUUCCCGGGCCUUGUACACACCGCCCGUCACACCACGAGAGUUUGUAACACCCGAAGUCGGUGAGGUAACCUUUUGGAGCCAGCCGCCUAAGGUGGGACAGAUGA